UGGAACCUGGGAUUCAAGCCGCCAGGCAAAGUGCCCUAGCAGGGACUCUGGCUUAGUGAGAGUCUCUGUUUCCCCCUUUUCUUUCUUUCCACCCAAUAAAACCGGGUCUUACUCAUCAUUCAAAUUGUCUGCGAGCCUGAAUUUUUGUGGCCGUGGGACAAAGAACCCCGUCUUUAACGGAACUAAGGAAAAGCCCUGCAACAAUUUUGGCGCGCAACGUGGGGACUUGAGAAGCGGUUGAACUCUUUUGUGUCAACUAAAAGAACAUAUGAACAUAGCAGGGCUGUCAAGAUAAGGCCACAAGCUUGCCGAGUUGGGGACCUUUGAAAUACAAGGAAGAUGAAACAAAGCAGUCAGGCGAGACUGAAACUUUUUCUCCUGACUUCCCUGACUUCCCAGGAGUCUGUCUGGUACCUAGAGGAGAAGGUGAGAAAUGAAGAAGAAAAUGCUGCCCAAUUUCCUUCAUUUCCAAUUGAGAGACUCUUUCAAGAUUUCCCAUCUCUGAAUUUGCCAA
rnacentral:lncRNA from 10 species